rnacentral:tRNA from 1 species
AAAGAAUUAGUUAAAUUAUAACCUAAGCUUGUCAAGCUUAUAUUGCCUGUGCGGUAUUCUUUU